UGUUACGGAAACAAAUUCUCAGUGGAAAAUUUUUUUUGUUUCACAAUUCUGCUUUUUGUUACUUACUUUUGUGCUCAGUUUGGUUUUUCACAUUUAGUGGAACGAAAAAGAAAUAUUUACUGACCAUUUUACCAUAGAGUAAAAUUAAAGUUGAUCUGGAAAAUCAGGAAAAGAAAAAAAACAAGAAAAUUGAAAAUAAAACAAAGAAAAAAUUAAACGUUUCAACGCAUUGAAAAAUAAACGGCAAAUUCGAAAAAUUCACCAGAAAUUAUAAAUAAAUAAGAAAAAACGAGAAAGGAGAAAAACUGUUCAUAUUAUAAUUUUCUUUUGCAUACUUUUUAAUUUUGCAAAGAAAACACAACUUUUAAAAAAUAUUUCCAAAAAAAAAAAAGCGAAACACAAACAAAGAAGAACAUAGAAUGCACAAUACCCUAAAGCUGGUCCAUAAUUAAAAGUUUCGUCGAGAAUAAAAAAUAAAAAGCAGUGGAAAAAUAUUAAAGAGAAUACGACACGAAAAAAUACUAAAAUAAAAAUUCCUUAAAUAAAACAAAAAAAUCAUAAACCAACUUGAAAACAAUAAGUGUAAAUAAUUUUUAAAAGCCCCAUAACCGUAUAACCAAGACUAAAAUAGUAAUACAUAAUAAUAACAAUACCGCCUCCAACAAUAUUCUGUUUUAAAUUUUUUUAACACGACAUUGUCCUUUAAAAUGUUUUUACUAGGUAUACUAUAAAAACAAUUAAAUAGAAAACGAAUUAAAAUACAAAUUAUAAGUAUAUAACAAGUAAAACGUUUGAACAACUUCAAAUUACAAAUACUAAAUUUAAACUAAAAUAAUAAUAAUUAAAAAAGAAGUGUAGGAAACAAAAAGGAAGAAGAAAAAUAAUAAUAACUAUCAAAUAUUUCUCCUAUACAUUGGCACACCAUCAACAG